rnacentral:rRNA from 1 species
GGGACACGUGGUAUCCUGUCUGAAUAUGGGGGGACCAUCCUCCAAGGCUAAAUACUCCUGACUGACCGAUAGUGAACCAGUACCGUGAGGGAAAGGCGAAAAGAACCCCGGCGAGGGGAGUGAAAAAGAACCUGAAACCGUGUACGUACAAGCAGUGGGAGCACGCUUAGGCGUGUGACUGCGUACCUUUUGUAUAAUGGGUCAGCGACUUAUAUUCUGUAGCAAGGUUAACCGAAUAGGGGAGCCGAAGGGAAACCGAGUCUUAACUGGGCGUUAAGUUGCAGGGUAUAGACCCGAAACCCGGUGAUCUAGCCAUGGGCAGGUUGAAGGUUGGGUAACACUAACUGGAGGACCGAACCGACUAAUGUUGAAAAAUUAGCGGAUGACUUGUGGCUGGGGGUGAAAGGCCAAUCAAACCGGGAGAUAGCUGGUUCUCCCCGAAAGCUAUUUAGGUAGCGCCUCGUGAAUUCAUCUCCGGGGGUAGAGCACUGUUUCGGCAAGGGGGUCAUCCCGACUUACCAACCCGAUGCAAACUGCGAAUACCGGAGAAUGUUAUCACGGGAGACACACGGCGGGUGCUAACGUCCGUCGUGAAGAGGGAAACAACCCAGACCGCCAGCUAAGGUCCCAAAGUCAUGGUUAAGUGGGAAACGAUGUGGGAAGGCCCAGACAGCCAGGAUGUUGGCUUAGAAGCAGCCAUCAUUUAAAGAAAGCGUAAUAGCUCACUGGUCGAGUCGGCCUGCGCGGAAGAUGUAACGGGGCUAAACCAUGCACCGAAGCUGCGGCAGCGACGCUUAUGCGUUGUUGGGUAGGGGAGCGUUCUGUAAGCCUGUGAAGGUGUACUGUGAGGUAUGCUGGAGGUAUCAGAAGUGCGAAUGCUGACAUAAGUAACGAUAAAGCGGGUGAAAAGCCCGCUCGCCGGAAGACCAAGGGUUCCUGUCCAACGUUAAUCGGGGCAGGGUGAGUCGACCCCUAAGGCGAGGCCGAAAGGCGUAGUCGAUGGGAAACAGGUUAAUAUUCCUGUACUUGGUGUUACUGCGAAGGGGGGACGGAGAAGGCUAUGUUGGCCGGGCGACGGUUGUCCCGGUUUAAGCGUGUAGGCUGGUUUUCCAGGCAAAUCCGGAAAACUAAGGCUGAGGCGUGAUGACGAGGCACUACGGUGCUGAAGCAACAAAUGCCCUGCUUCCAGGAAAAGCCUCUAAGCAUCAGGUAACAUCAAAUCGUACCCCAAACCGACACAGGUGGUCAGGUAGAGAAUACCAAGGCGCUUGAGAGAACUCGGGUGAAGGAACUAGGCAAAAUGGUGCCGUAACUUCGGGAGAAGGCACGCUGAUAUGUAGGUGAAGUCCCUCGCGGAUGGAGCUGAAAUCAGUCGAAGAUACCAGCUGGCUGCAACUGUUUAUUAAAAACACAGCACUGUGCAAACACGAAAGUGGACGUAUACGGUGUGACGCCUGCCCGGUGCCGGAAGGUUAAUUGAUGGGGUCAGCGCAAGCGAAGCUCUUGAUCGAAGCCCCGGUAAACGGCGGCCGUAACUAUAACGGUCCUAAGGUAGCGAAAUUCCUUGUCGGGUAAGUUCCGACCUGCACGAAUGGCGUAAUGAUGGCCAGGCUGUCUCCACCCGAGACUCAGUGAAAUUGAACUCGCUGUGAAGAUGCAGUGUACCCGCGGCAAGACGGAAAGACCCCGUGAACCUUUACUAUAGCUUGACACUGAACAUUGAGCCUUGAUGUGUAGGAUAGGUGGGAGGCUUUGAAGUGUGGACGCCAGUCUGCAUGGAGCCGACCUUGAAAUACCACCCUUUAAUGUUUGAUGUUCUAACGUUGACCCGUAAUCCGGG